GUGUUCGGUGCCGGGUUAUUUAUUUAUUUGUUUGUUUGUUUAUUUAUUUAUUUAUUUUCCGCGAUUAUUGUAAUUUCGUGCGAAAGGAAGUUGUGAACAACGGCAAGUCAGGAAGUGGAAAUCCACACCGGCUGUGACAAGCUGGGGCUCCAAACUAUUUCAUUAUUUAUAUAGAUGUGUCUAUCAACAUUCUGCUUUUCAUCCAAAGAAUAAAGGGAAACGCCGGCCGGCCCCACGCUUGACGGGGAAUGACAGACCUCAGCUGAGCAAAGGAAGGACUAAAUAUAUCAGCUCGCAGCAGCACCGGUAUUUAUUGAACUCGAGAGACUUUUUUUUUUUUUUUUUUUUUUUGUAACCUAAAGGCUGAGCGAGAGAUUUAAAGGGUCGUUAAAAGGGGAACAAUUGGAAAGGCCCUUUGGCUUCUGGAGCGCAGCGAAGCCCCGGGCAGGAGCGGCGCUUGUAGGACGGACGCCCACGUUAAGGCUCCACGCGAUGCAUUUUCUAUCCUAUGGAUACCAGUAUUGAGAUUACGCACCAAGAGAAGAUCUGUAAUUGAUCUCGCACCCGAUAAUUUCAAUGCCUAAUAUUCCCCAGGAUUGCUGGAGUACCCGAGGAGCUGCGUCGGACUGUAUUCGGGGUAUGCCAUGGGCUGUAUUCAGAGCAUCAGCUGCAAAUCCAAAGUUUUCCGGGAAAGUAUUUCGGUGAUUGAAGUCAAAGCCUCCAUCGAUCCCGUCCCCACCAGCAUCGACGAAUCCUCCAGCGUGGUCCUGCGCUACCGCACCCCGCACUUCCGCGCCUCCGCGCAGGUGUUGGUGCCCCCCAUCCCCAAGAAGGAGACGUGGAUCGUGGGCUGGAUCCAGGCGUGCAGCCACAUGGAAUUCUACAAUCACUACGGGGACCAGGGAAUGUCAAGCUGGGAGCUUCCAGAUCUACUGGAGGGUAAAAUCCAGGCCAUCAGCGACUCAGAUGGAGUGAACUAUCCCUGGUACGGAAACACGACAGAAACCUGCACCAUCGUGGGUCCCACAAAGAAGGAGUCCAAGUUCAACAUCAGCAUGAACGACAACUUCUACCCGAGCGUGACGUGGGCAGUGCCCGUCAGCGACAGCAACGUGGCCAAGCUGACGAGCAUCCACCGGGAUCAAAGCUUCACCACCUGGCUGGUCGCCACCAACACGGCCACCAACGAGAUGGUGACCUUGCAGACUAUCAAGUGGCGGAUGAGGCUGGGCAUCGAGGUGAACCCCAGCAGGCCCCUGGGGCAGCGUGCCAAGCUGCAGGAGCCCUCGGCUCAAGAGCAGCCCCAGGUCCUCAGCAAGAAUGAGCCAAUACCACCCAGUGCCCUUGUCAAACCCAAUGCCAACGAUGCUCAGGUACUCAUGUGGAGGCCGAAGGAUGGGCCACCGCUCGUGGUGAUACCUCCCAAGCACCGAUAGUAAAAACCUGGCGUCCCGGCACUGAAAGGGAGAAAACAAAGGAAAACACCGCAAAACAAUCACUUAGGUAUUAGAAUAAACACGUGUAAUCUGAGCGAAAUCAAAAUGCACUUUGUAGUCAUUCAACAAAUGCAACCAUUCUACCUUCUCCCAUUGGGACGGAUUUCACUGUGCUAAAGCUAAAGAGGAGACCUCUGAGCGGGGUCUGUCUCGUCACUGGAUUCCUAAGGGAAGAAAUGAACACUGAUGUCUCCCCCUAUUCCUUUUUUGUUCUCUUCCUACUUUCAGUUCCUGUUUGAACUUCAGUCUCAUUAGCUUGCCCAGAUUGCCCACAACAAUAAGAACAUUUUAUUUGGGAUUUUAAGAGCCUUUUUUUCGGUUUGUUCUCUUCUCCUUUUUGGUGGAGAACAGAAGUUCCGUGGAGCGAAAAGUCAACUAUUUAAAAUAAGGAAUUUUUUUUUUUUUUUAAAGCUCUAAGGUUCUGAGUUGCAAAUCCAAGUCAUGCGGCCUUAUGUAGACUUUGCUUUGCAUUGCCAAACUUUUGCCUUAAAGCUACGUCUGAAAAAACAACCACCACAACAAAAAAAAAAAACCACCAGGCAGAAUGUCCUUUCUACAGAGUUUGUGGGAAAAGAGAUGCGGCGUGAAGAUUGUCGGCGUGUCACAGGCGAAUGGAAAGGGCAUGAGAUCGGAAGGAGCACCAUCAAAAGCAAAAUCUUCCUGGUUUUAAAACACGGGACGAGGAAGCUCGGAAAUCAUCUCAGUUUCAAAGCAAUGCAAAUAAACUGCUGUAGGAUGUCUUCGGAGCGCGAGCUCCGCGGCCAUCUCCCUGCUUGGCAGGAGGAGUUGAGCUCACCCCACUUGCACUUCUCGGCGUUGUAACACGGGAUCAUCUCAUGGGCAAAGCCAGCGGCUGCAACCACGGCCCCGGGGGUCACCAAGCGGAGGGGACGUCCCGCUGCGUCCGGGGGCAUUGAGAUGCAUGGGUGUAAGCGAGGGCAGAUCUACCCACCACGCCUACCCAGCAAUAUCCACAGUUCAGGAACAGCCGUGUCUGAGACCAGCAGGCACUAUUCCUAGCAAACACUAGAGACAGAAGCUACGAAAAACUCUUCUUCCUAUGGUAACAAAUCACGUUGGGGUUCAUAGGUAAUUUUCUUCCCAAUGACCUCAUGGUCUACGCAACUUCCAGGAACGGGGUGCAGACAGGACCCCAUGUGAGACCGUUCCCAUUUGGUUAUGUAGCCAAGGAUCCUGCACAGGGUGGUGGGCAGGGAAGCCCAAUGUCUUGGGUGUAGAUCCUCCAGUCAAGAAAGCGUAUUUGGAGCAAGAGCCAGAACCUGGGUUUCAACAAGGACCUCAUCCAGAUGGCAUCAGAGAUAGCCAGAUGUGUUUCUGCAGAGGAAGGAGGUGCAGGAAGGCGGCUCGGGGAGCGGGGGGUGAACGACACAUGGUCUGUGGCAGCGCUUUCCGUGAGAUAACGUUUCUUCCUCUUAGUCACAACACGCCUCAAGAGCUGGGGCUGAGCAGAGCCCAGCUGCAGAUGCUCCCGGCCCUGCGGAGCUGGUCCGAGCAGGUCUCGGUCCCACGCUCGCUGCUCAGCAGGCUCUCCCCCGGGGGAGCAUCAUUCGCUGCUAUUGCCACCUCCUCCUCCCACACAACAAGAAUUUCUCCUUCCUCGCCUCUCCAAAGCCACGCCAUCUAUUUCGGCAACAGGUUCAGCAUCUCCCCUGCAUGGGGAAAUUUCACCCAGAAGAUGCGUCCCCCCCCAACCGCCUCAAACCAGCAAACACGGAUGCGGGGUCCCUGCAGCGUGCCCCCAACCCCCCCGGGCAGGGCACCCUCCUCCCUGCUGUGCUGCAGAGCUGCUCUCCCCCUCCGACAGGAGAUCCCCCAAGCGGGCAGCCUGGCAUCACAAGCAGCUUGCAAACAACUGGACUGGAUCAACCCCAAAUCCAUCAGCCAAAGGUUGCCUACAUCUAGGCUUUGGGACUACAAAGGACGAAGCUAGGGAGGCUUUGACUUGCACAGUCACUCUCUAUUAAACUCCAUUUUCUUACACGGAUUCAGAUCCCAACUACAGCUCCACCGGCACAGCCCUUUGGGACUUGGCUGUGUUUUCUCCUAGGCAAUACACGCAGAAGAGGACAAAAGUGGAGCUGUGGGCAAUAAGUCUCAUCGGAGAGACUUUGGCAUGAAGACCUCGGGCAAACUUCACUAUCUUCUUGCACGCACCUCGGCUGCUGCUCCGGGCAGAGCGGCGGGGGGGAGUAGAAGGGGUAUUUAUGUCUGGUAUUCACUUUGUCUCCAGGUGCUGAGUACUUACAGUUCUCACUGAUGUCAGCAUGGGUCGAACAAAUCGGGCCCAGUUGUCUUAAUUAGCUGCACAAAGGAAUUCCAAGGAAAGAUUUAUUCUCAGUCACCAAAAAUCACAUUCAGGGAACACCUAUGUCCUUUUCCACUUCGCUUCGUGUUGGACUCGGUCUCUCCCGGCGCACUGAGUACAUCUGUUUCCUCCUCCCCUACCUGGUGAACUGGAUGCACCCGUGCAAUUCCAUCCCGACCUCCUGGCUGAGUUGUCCCGUUGCACUGAACAGACCCAGCUGAGCAGUAAAUAUAAAAUCCAACCUUCACUUUGGGUCAGCUUUGCAUGGACCUCUCCCUCCCCAAAGAAUGCCUUUAUCCCGUGCCUCGUUUGGACCGUGCCCCUCCACCUCCAUCCGCACCACACCAUACCCAGCAUAGAAAGUGCUGCUGCCUCUGAGAUACUGUGAAAACAACCCCACGAUGUACCAAGUCUGGACACUCAUGGCGAUGUAAAAACAAAACCCUGCUUUUAUAACAGACGGAAAAAAUAAAGUGAAGUUUUCAAA